rnacentral:misc_RNA from 1 species
UCCCUCUUGAUGAGGGCAGUCCUGUCUGAAAAAUCCAACAGACAGCGAGGGUUUCGCUCGUUUACCCACUUAAGGGCACAGCUCACGCCACGAGCUGACGACAGCCGUGCAACACCUGUCUUAGCGCUCCCUUGCGGGCACUCUCCUGUUUCCAAGAGAUUCGCUAGAUGUCAAACCCUGGUAAGGUUCUCCGGUUAUCGUCGAAUUAAACCACAUGCUCCACCGCUUGUGCGAUCCCCCGUCAAUUCCUUUGAGUUUUAGUCUUGCGACCGUACUUCCCAGGCGGCACACUUAACGCGUUAGCUUCGCUACAAGAAGGGUCGAUACUUCUGAUAGCUAGUGUGCAUCGUUUACGGCGUGGACUAC